AUGCCUUGGCCUGCUGGCCCUGGAGAUCCCAUCGUCGGCUUCGUCGAACUCAAAGUCGUCGCCCUACCCUGGCCCGUCGCGUCUUCCUGUGCCAUUUCCUGUUGUGCUCAGGUUCCACGAGCUGCCCAUCUCCAGAGAAGAGCAGGUGAGGCCGCUGCCUGUCUUCAUGCGUGUGAGUACAGGUGGCUUUUCUUUCUUUCAGGAUGUUUGCUUUGUAGGAAUUCUAAUUUUUUGCCUUUCCUCAAAGCUGGCAUUGCCCACCGGCCGUGCUGGCUGAAGAAGAGAGGACAUGAGGACCCCAGGAUGCCCAGCGUGAGGACCCCAGGACACCCAGCGCGAGGACCCCAGGACGCCCAGCUCGAGGACCCCAGGACGCCCAGCGCGAGGACCCCAGGACGCCCAGCGCGAGGACCCCAGGACGCCCAGCGCGAGGACCCCAGGACGCCCAGCGCGAGGACUCCACAUCCUUACGUUGCAACCCUCCUGGAAUAGGCCAACAUCGUCAUCACCUGGAAUCCUGCGUGGGACCCUGGACACAUGGACACAGAGCCUGCCCAUAGGACCUUCCAACUGUAAAUC
rnacentral:lncRNA from 1 species